UACGAGAGGCCCAAACGUUAUUCGGAAUUACUGGGCUUAAAGAGUUCGUAGGCGGCGCAGCAAGUAGGGUGUGAAAGCCCUCGGCUCAACCGAGGAAUUGCGCUCUAAACUACUGUGCUCGAGGAAUCUAGAGGUGAGCGGAACUGAUGGUGGAGCGGUGAAAUGCGUUGAUAUCAUCAGGAACACCGGAGGCGAAGGCGGCUCACUGGGGAUUUUCUGACGCUGAGGAACGAAAGCCAGGGGAGCGAACGGG
rnacentral:rRNA from 1 species